UAAGUACGCGUUUUUAAUAGUUAAAGUUGGCUAGAAAACCAACUUUUUAGAAAAUAGAUAUAGCUUGAAUUUUAUUAAUUCUUGCUAUUAUUAUAUUUGCGUAGACCGGACGAGUGACUAUCGAUAUGGCUCGAGGCGAACGGAUUGAGAUAUCGUUGUGCUUAUUUGAAGAAUUUGGAUAGCAAGUGGGGUAGUAUGAUAUGAUUUGGAGAGUCAAGCUUCCGAAGUUUUAAUUCUCGGAAGUCAUUUGCACAAGAAGUGAAAGAAGGUUUUCAUUCUAGCGGUCCGCAGUAGUCUAGAUGUUUUUGUCUAUGUAUUUGUAUAACGCGUUUUAACUCUGAUAUUUUUGUAAAAUGGGGUCACAGGUAUUUUGAUAUGUGAAAUAUGAUUUGAUUUGCGAAAAAUUUA